UACGAAGGGGGCUAGCGUUGCUCGGAAUUAUUGGGCGUAAAGCGCGUGUAGGCGGCUUUGCAAGUCGGGUGUGAAAGCCCUCGGCUCAACCGAGGAAGUGCGCCCGAAACUGCAGAGCUUGAGUACCGGAGAGGAUGGCGGAAUUCCCCAAGUAGAGGUGAAAUUCGUAGAUAUGGGGAGGAACACCGGUGGCGAAGGCGGCCAUCUGGACGGAUACUGACGCUGAGACGCGAAAGCGUGGGGAGCAAACAGG
rnacentral:rRNA from 1 species